UACGUAGGGGGCAAGCGUUGUCCGGAAUCAUUGGGCGUAAAGAGCGUGUAGGCGGCCUGGUAAGUCCGCUGUGAAAGUCCAGGGCUCAACCCUGGAAUGCCGGUGGAAACUGUCAGGCUCGAGUCCGGAAGAGGCGAGUGGAAUUCCUGGUGUAGCGGUGAAAUGCGCAGAUAUCAGGAGGAACACCUGCGGCGAAGGCGGGUUGCUGGGCUGAUACUGACGCUGAGGCGCGAAAGCCAGGGAGCGAACGGG
rnacentral:rRNA from 1 species